ACUCUUAUGAGGCCCCGUAAUUGGAAUGAGAACAAUCUAAAUCCUUUAACGAGGAUCUAUUGGAGGGCAAGUCUGGUGCCAGCAGCCGCGGUAAUUCCAGCUCCAAUAGCGUAUAUUAAAGUUGUUGUGGUUAAAAAGCUCGUAGUUGGAUCUCAGUUCGAGUCAGGCGGUCCACUUGCCAGUGGCUACUGCCUGACUGAACACUUUACCGAGUUGUCCUAUGGUGUUCUUCACCGAGCGUCAUAGGCGAUCGGUACGUUUACUUUGAAAAAAUUAGAGUGCUCAAAGCAGGCGUAACGCCCGAAUAAUGUUGCAUGGAAUAAUGGAAUAGGACCUCGGUUCUAUUUUGUUGGUCUUCGGAAUCAGAGGUAAUGAUCAAUAGGGACAGACGGGGACAUUCGUAUUGCGGCGCUAGAGGUGAAAUUCUUGGACCGUCGCAAGACGAACUAAAGCGAAAGCAUUUGUCAAGAAUGUUUUCAUUAAUCAAGAACGAAAGUUAGAGGUUCGAAGGCGAUCAGAUACCGCCCUAGUUCUAACCAUAAACGAUGCCAACCAGUAAUUCGUCUGAGUUCCUUAAAUGACUCGACGAGGGACUUCCGGGAAACCAAAGUCUUUCGGUUCCAGGGGAAGUAUGGUUGCAAAGCUGAAACUUAAAGAAAUUGACGGAAGGGCACCACCAGGAGUGGAGCCUGCGGCUUAAUUUGACCCAACACGGGAAAACUCACCCGGCCCGGACACUGGAAGGAUUGACAGAUUGAGAGCUCUUUCUUGAUUCAGUGGGUGGUGGUGCAUGGCCGUUCUUAGUUGGUGGAGUGAUUUGUCUGGUUAAUUCCGAUAACGAACGAGACUCUAGCCUACUAAAUAGAUCGUCGGCUUACAAACGCCGGCGAGACUUCUUAGAGGGACAGGCGGUGAUUCAACCGCACGAAACAGAGCAAUAACAGGUCUGUGAUGCCCUUAGAUGUCCGGGGCCGCACGCGCGCUACACUGAAGUGAUCAGCGUGCUUUUUCAACCUACUCUGUCAAGAGUGGGGAACCCAAUGAACCUUCUUCGUGAUUGGGAUAGGGGAUUGUAAUUAUUCCCCUUGAACGAGGAAUUCCCAGUAAGCGCGAGUCAUAAGCUCGCGUUGAUUACGUCCCUGCCCUUUGUACACACCGCCCGUCGCUACUACCGAUUGAAUGUUUUAGUGAGGUCUUCGGACUGGCCGGCGCAGCACUCUCGUAGUGCAGCGCUGUGUUUGGAAAGAUGCCCAAACUUGAACAUUUAGAGGAAGUAAAAGUCGUAACAAGGUUUCCGUAGGUUACCUGCGGAAG
rnacentral:rRNA from 1 species